CUUUGGCCCACCCUGGGCAGCAUGGGAGGCAGAGCACAGUGGUGGGCUGGGGCCAGAUUUCAAGAAUGUCUCUUGAUGUCAGAUCCAAAUAUGGGAUCCUGCCUUUACAUGCGUAGGGGCUGGACACCUGCAGUGCCCAAGGACUCCACAUGCAGCUGUGGCUGCAGUUGGAACAAGUUCCCUGCAGUCCUGUAGUUCAAAGGGAGAAACUGAGGUACCCAAAAUUAGGCCAUUGUUGUAAAUUGAGGCCUUUCCGCCUUGCCCGUUAACAACAGUCGGUGGGCUAAGGCUCAUUGGAAGUCACUGUUUAGACUUGAUCACGGCUGACGUAGUCCUGGUCAUAAGCAGAAGCCUGGCAGUGAAAGGUCCUGAUUCCAUCCCCAGCCUCCAGAGGCAGAUGGUCCCCCAGGGAUGGAACAACCCUGGGGAAUAUUUUACACUCACAGUCUUUCCCACGGGCUGGGUAAUUCCACAGUCUCAUUCACAGGGCUGAGAACCUCAGGGUUAAGUUGCACAAAGUGAAACUAACUGAAAUGUGCCCCCUGCGCUGCACGCUGUGCUGUGCUGCCCUGGGGAGAUGUGGCUUUAAGCUGCUGUCCCAGCCCCUUCCCACUCUCAAGAAGGACUGGGCCAAAAGAGAUCUGAUGAGGUUCAACAAGCGUAAGGAUUUUUAUCUCUCUAGGCCGAUCUGAUCAGAAGAUCUCGGGGAGCCUUACAGUUUAUCUCCCGCUGAGUCCCCCUUUUAAGGCCAUCUAUCAGAGCUGACUUUAAUGAACUCCACACACACAAAGCUAUAAAAUAAAACAACAACACUUUAUUUGCUAAGGGGAGAGGAAGGAAUGGAAAGGGGAAUGGAUUAAUGAUUCUGGAGAUUCGGAAUAACACACAGGCACUUAUAAUACAAGAUGUUCUAUCUUUACAGACAUCAGCGAUAAAGGGGUGCAGGAUCCAGAAAAGAGAAGCCAGUAGUGAACACUGACCGUGGACAACAGAUGAAACAGACAGACGAACUAUCGCAAGAAGGUGUGGAUACAACAGUACAUUGAGAGCCGAGAAGGAAGGACUGUGCUGGAGUACUAAUUCUGAACAUGGCACUAGGUCUUUCAUGAACCCAAGGAGCUGAUAUAUUUCCAGAAACCCACCCCAUGGUACAUGCUCAGAUGGGAAGGGCUUGAACCACCCAACUAGAAGCAGAACACAGACAGAUGUUUUCCUCAGGUGCUACCCCAGACGAUACUGCCAGGACCGCAAUUCAUUGUGCAGCUUGUGCUGACGGCGGCCUCACCGUACCCUGCACCACUUGCUGUGUCCCCUCCUGGAUUGCAGCAAACCCUGCAACAGGAUGCCCUUCGUGGUGACAAGCACUCCCAUCAACUGCCCAGAGUGUUAACCCUUUUCCUUGUACUUCUUCCCAGGAUGUUGCUAAGAAGAAUGGAGAUAGUAAGUCUAAAUCAGGAUCUGGCAACGGACAUUCGUGCUCAUCUCCUGCGGUAAUCGGAGCAUAGGGAAGGAUUCUCGUAUGGGGGGGAUCUUCUCAGUACGAAUAUCCCGAUUGACCAGACUUAGAGUCCAUCCCGCCAGCCGGGGAGAGGAUACCCUUCCCUCAUUAAUUCUUCCAGAGAUGACAUAUUUUACUGGAGUAUGGCAUGUCCUCACCACAAUGAGAGCUGUGCCACUUAAAUAUUCCCAAUGUGUUAGGGACCAUACCAGGGCGAAUACCUCACGUUCGCAAGCUGAAAACCUCGCCUCCACCUCACUGAGAGUUUUGGAACCAUAGGCCAUCGGUCUCACCUGGCCAAUUUGUUUUUGCAGCAAAACAGCUCCAGUGCUUGCUGGAGUAGUUGCCAGGUGCAAGUAAAAUGGCAGGCCUUGUUUAGG